rnacentral:rRNA from 1 species
AGUGAACGCUGGCGGUAGGCCUAACACAUGCAAGUCGAACGGCAGCACAGUAAGAGCUUGCUCUUACGGGUGGCGAGUGACGGACGGGUGAGGAAUACAUCGGAAUCUACUUUUUCGUGGGGGAUAACGUAGGGAAACUUACGCUAAUACCGCAUACGACCUACGGGUGAAAGCAGGGGAUCUUCGGACCUUGCGCGAUUGAAUGAGCCGAUGUCGGAUUAGCUAGUUGGCGGGGUAAAGGCCCACCAAGGCGACGAUCCGUAGCUGGUCUGAGAGGAUGAUCAGCCACACUGGAACUGAGACACGGUCCAGACUCCUACGGGAGGCAGCAGUGGGGAAUAUUGGACAAUGGGCGCAAGCCUGAUCCAGCCAUACCGCGUGAGUGAAGAAGGCCUUCGGGUUGUAAAGCCCUUUUGUUGGGAAAGAAAAGCAGCAGGUUAAUACCCCGCUGUUCUGACGGUACCCAAAGAAUAAGCACCGGCUAACUUCGUG